rnacentral:misc_RNA from 1 species
GAUGAAGAACGUAGCGAAAUGCGAUAAGUAAUGUGAAUUGCAGAAUUCAGCGAAUCAUCGAAUCUUUGAACGCACAUUGCGCCCGCCAGUAUUCUGGCGGGCAUGCCUGUUCGAGCGUCAUUUCAACCAUCAAGCCCCAGGCUUGCGUUGGAGCCCUGCGGCUGCCGCAGCCUCCUAAAAGCAGUGGCGGGCUCGCUAUCACACCGAGUGCAGUAGAUUACUCUUCGCUCAGGGCGUGCAGCGGGUUCCGGCCGUGAAACCCCCUACUUUUAAAGGUUGACCUCGGAUCAGGUAGGAAUACCCGCUGAACUUAAGCAUAUCAAUAAGCGGAGGA